AGAGCGAACGCUGGCGGCAGGCCUAACACAUGCAAGUCGAGCGGCCGUAGCAAUACGGCAGCGGCAGACGGGAGAGUAACACGUGGGAACGCGCCCUUCGGUUCGGAAUAACUCAGGGAAACUUGGGCUAAUACCGGAUACGCCCUUACGGGGAAAGAUUUAUUGCCGAAGGAACGGCCCGCGUCCGAUUAGCUUGUUGGUGAGGUAACGGCUCACCAAGGCGACGAUCGGUAGCUGGUCUGAGAGGAUGACCAGCCUCACUGGGACUGAGACACGGCCCAGACUCCUACGGGAGGCAGCAGUGGGGAAUAUUGGACAAUGGGCGCAAGCCUGAUCCAGCCAUGCCGCGUGGGUGAUGAAGGCCCUAGGGUUGUAAAGCCCUUUCGGGCGGGAAGAUAAUGACGGUACCCGCAGAAGAAGCCCCGGCUAACUUCGCGCCAGCAGCCGC
rnacentral:rRNA from 1 species